CAACCUGUAAUUGCUGGAUUGAGUGAUGAGAACAAGCCUUUCAUUUGCACAAUGGACUCAAUUGGUGCCAAGGAACUUGCAAAAGAUUUUGUUGUUGCUGGCACAGCCUCAGAGUCGCUUUAUGGUGCUUGUGAAGCAGUGUUCAAGCCUGACAUGGAACCUGAAGAAUUAUUUGAAACUGUGUCUCAAGCGUUGCUAUCAUCAGUAGAUCGGGACUGUUUGAGUGGUUGGGGUGGACAUAUCUAUGUUGUCACACCCACUGAAAUUAAAGAAAGAAUCUUAAAGGGAAGAAUGGAUUGACAAUUGUUCAUUACGCUGAAGACCAAAGUCCUUCCAUACAAAGAUUAGGCCACCUGUUUUGGAAUAUUUUCGACCCAUAGACACAUAUUUGAAA
rnacentral:misc_RNA from 1 species